AUUAUAGAUGAACUUCUUCAUGAGUUGCAUGGUGCACAGUGGUUUACAAAGUUAGAUCUCAGGGCUGGUUACCACCAAAUAAGACUAGCUCCUGGAGAAGAAUACAAGACAACUUUUCAAACCCAUCAUGGGCAUUUUGAGUUUCUGGUUGUGGGUUUUAGCCUGACAGGAGCACCUGAUACUUUCCAAGCGGCCAUAAAUGUAUCAUUAUCAGAUGAACCUGAAAUGCUUAGACAUUUUGUGAUAGCCUUCUUUGAUGACAUCCUUGUUUUCAGUAAGACAUUGAAACAACAUUUGGAGCAUGUCAGAAGAGUGUUGCGAGUUUUGAGAAGGGACAAAUGGUAUGUGAAGCUUUCCAAGUGUGAGUUUCCUUCU
rnacentral:rRNA from 1 species